rnacentral:snRNA from 1 species
ACUUAAACAAAAACAUCAAA